AUUGAACGCUGGCGGCAGGCUUAACACAUGCAAGUCGAGCGGGGUGAUGGUGCUUGCACUAUCACUUAGCGGCGGACGGGUGAGUAAUGCUUAGGAAUCUGCCUAUUAGUGGGGGACAACAUCUCGAAAGGGAUGCUAAUACCGCAUACGUCCUACGGGAGAAAGCGGGGGAUCACUUGUGACCUUGAGCUAAUAGAUGAGCCUAAGUCGGAUUAGCUAGUUGGUUGGGUAAAGGCCUACCAAGGCGACGAUCUGUAGCGGGUCUGAGAGGAUGAUCCGCCACACUGGGACUGAGACACGGCCCAGACUCCUACGGGAGGCAGCAGUGGGGAAUAUUGGACAAUGGGGGGAACCCUGAUCCAGCCAUGCCGCGUGUGUGAAGAAGGCCUUAUGGUUGUAAAGCACUUUAAGCGAGGAGGAGGCUUACCUAGUUAAUACCUGGGAUAAGUGGACGUUACUCGCAGAAUAAGCACCGGCUAACUCUGUGCCAGCCGCCGCCGUAA
rnacentral:rRNA from 1 species